rnacentral:rRNA from 1 species
GACGAACGCUGGCGGCGUGCUUAACACAUGCAAGUCGAGCGGUAAGGCCUCUUCGGUGGUACACGAGCGGUGACCGGGUGCGUAACACGUGGGCGACCUGCCCCCACCUCUGGGAUAAGCCUGGGAAACUGGGUCUAAUACCGGAUAUGACUUUUCCUCGCAUGGGGUUUGGUGGAAAGUUUUUUCGGCUGUGGCUGGGACGGCGGCCUAUAAGCUCGUUGGUGGGGGGAUGGCCUACCAAGAGGGCGACGGGUAGCCGGGGUGCGAGGGCGACCGGCCACACUGGGAGGGAGGCACGGCCCGGAAUCCUUCGGGAGGGAGCGAUGGGGAGUAUUGGGCAAGGGGCGGGAGCCAGGAGCAGCGACGCCGCGUAGGGGAUGGCGGCCAGGGAGUAGUAAACCUCUUUCGACCCCGGCGAAUUUGGACGGUAGGGGGAGAAGAAGCACCGGCCAACUACGUG